rnacentral:rRNA from 1 species
CUGCCCACUGAUUUUUAAAUGGCCGCAGUAUUUUAACUGUGCAAAGGUAGCAUAAUAAUUAGUCUUUUAAUUGAAGGCUGGAAUGAAUGGUUGGACGAAAUAUUAACUGUUUCAAUUAAAUUUAUUAUAUAAUUUUAUUUUUUAGUUAAAAAGCUAAAAUUUAUUUAGUAGACGAGAAGACCCUAUAAAUCUUUAUAUAAUUAUUUAAUUUAUUAAUUUAGAUUAUUUAUAUUAUAAUAUUUAAUUAUAUUUUAUUGGGGAGAUAUUAAAAUAUAAAUAACUUUUAAUUUUUUAGACAUUAAUUUAUGAUUAGUUGAUCCUUUAUUAUUGAUUAUUAAAUUAAGUUACUUUAGGGAUAACAGCGUAAUUUUUUUGGAAAGUUCUUAUUGAUAAAAAAGAUUGCGACCUCGAUGUUGGAUUAAGAUAUAAUGUUAGGUGUAGCAGCUUACUUUUCAAGUCUGUUCGACUUUUAUUUCUUACU